AAGAUAGAGAAAAACUAUCGACAUUCUAAACAUAUUGUAAUAUUAACUUGCUAGAGUAAGGUUGGUAUGCAGCUCGCAAGUAAUUGCUCGAAAAAAAAUACAUUAUUUCUCAAGUAAUGUGACAGCUGGUUACGCAUUGUGAAUGAUCUACAUUAGAAGAGCAAGAGAGAAUAAACAAAGAAAACAAACUUUGUGCGUAAUAUGUAUGUGUGUAUGUGUAUGGUAACAUAAAUAUUUUCAUUGAGAUUUAAGAAAUGUUGUUGAUGAUUGGUAGGUUUUAUACAACAUUUCAAAAUGGAAUAUACUUCAUAAUAAUGAUUUCAACUAAUUUAGGAUGAAUUUGACGAUUACUUCGAUUUUCCUUCAAGAAACAAUUGUUGAUUUGAUGUUUCUUCUCAAAACCAGGUUUGCCAUAUUCACAUUUUACUGAAAAAAAGUAUUAAAAAUUAGUACUAGAUUUCUUGAGAGCUGCGUACUAGCACAAGUAAAUUUAUCGCAGGAAAGCUUCUUGACCGUUUCUUAAGCGUUUUUUAUAUGAAGUUUUUACGUUUCUUCAGAGCUGCGUACUAAGCUGUAGGAGAGACGAAUGCCAAAUUUUUCAAGAAGAAGAAAACGAAAAGCGCAGUUUAUUUUGGUUUUUAAAGAGAGUAAACGAAAAAGAUUAACAACGAGAAAAAGAAAUCAUUUGGAGCGUUUGGAUGCGUAUAACAAAGACGCACCAUUCAAUUAGCCGCAUCACCGGUGACUUAGAGGACGAGCAUUACGUGGAGCUCGGUAUUAGUUUAAGUAAAUAUUUGAUUAUUGUGAUGUUAUUAUUAAAUAAAGCGAAAUAAUA